GCCUAGGGAGAUAUUUGUGAAUGAAAUCUGCUGCUCUUUGUUGCUACAAUUUUUGUGAUGUACAGGUGGUCGGUACGGCCACGCAGCCACCAAGUUCACUGGCGAGUCAUGCGUGUUCUGUAAACGUGCUUUUAAGCCUAGGGAGAUAUUUGUGAAUGAAAGCUACUGCUCUUUGUUGCUAGAAUUUGUGUGAUGUACAGGCGGUCGGCACGGCCACACAGCCACCAAGUUCACUGGCGAGUCAUGCAUGUUCUGUAAACGUGCGUUUAAGCCUAGGGAGAUAUUUGUGAAUGAAAGCUACUGCUCUUUGUUGUUACAAUUUGUGUGAUGUACAGGCGGUCGGCACGGCCACGCAGCCACCAAGUUCAGUGGCAAGUCAUGCGUGUUUUGUAAACGUGCUUUUACGCAUAGGGAGAUAUUUGUGAAUGAAAGCUGCUGCUCUUUGUUGCUAGAAUUUGUGUGAUGUGCAGGU